rnacentral:misc_RNA from 1 species
GGGAGGAUUUCUUUUGUUUGCGCUGUGUAGGUAGGACGUGUGUGCGCCAGGAAGUGUGUUUACCCACUUUGAUUAACGUUGUUAUGUGUGCAAGUUGGUCUGGUGUCAUUUCUCUGGUUGCGUGGUUCCUGUUGAAUGUCGGUAAGUGUAUAUACGACAAGGGACGAGGUCAGGUCAUGCCGGCCAUCCCUUAAACAUGGGGCAAACGUCUCGGGCGUCAGUCAGGAGAUGGAGCACGACCCGCCACAAGUCUAGCACCGGCGUCCCUUCAUCUGUGCACUACCAACUUAACAUCUGUUUCUCCCGAGCGAACUCGUCAGCCACAGCGGCGCUUGAGUCCUCUAUACCUGUACCCGCCCAAGCGUCUGAGAAGCCCCGUCAUCCUGCUGCUGCUGCUGCUGCUGCUGCUGCUCAUCAUCAUCACCUGUGUCCAUAUGGUAGCAGUCUAUCUCUAGGUCGUCUUCAGAAAAGGAUGCAGAUCGCAGGCGCGAGUUCCGGCACAGGCAGAGGCUGGGCCGUUUCAACUCCUUCAUACGAGGCGUUGGCUGCUAGAAAAUGUUCGGUCCUGCCACUACUGAAGGUAGAACCAAACCAGCGUGUCCUAACGAUCCCCAACAUGCAUCAGGAAACUGACUUUUCUUGUACUGGAGGACACUCUGCCUAGCUGCACCUUCCAUGGAGCAAUCGGAUCCUGCCUCGCACCAGCUUUUGCCGAGACAACACGGUGCCAUUCAGGGAGGGAGAACCCACUGCCUUGCUGCAUCUUCCACGGAGCGAUCUGACCCUGCCUCGCACCAGCUUUGCUGAGACAACACGGUGCUACUCAGGGAGGGAGAACCCACUGCCUCGUUGCACCUUCCACGGAGGAAUUGCACAACACAUGGUGCCAUCCAGGGAGGGAGCACACACUUCCUCGCUGCACUUCCACGGAGAAAUUGAACACCUGGUGCCAUCCAGGGAGGGAGGACACCAUGGCUCUGUACCUAACUUAACAAAUGCAUGUUGCCAAUCACCCUUGUAAUGUAGUUCCUUCCGUUAUGUGAAUGUACGCACACAAGUGUAAUGUUAUUAUUCCUUCAUUGUUCUGUGAUGUACCCACAUAACUGGUAUUAGUACUACUAAUAAAUUAUGAUUAAGAAAA